GACGAACGCUGGCGGCGUGCUUAACACAUGCAAGUCGAACGGAAAGGCCCUGCUUUUGUGGGGUGCUCGAGUGGCGAACGGGUGAGUAACACGUGAGUAACCUGCCCUUGACUUUGGGAUAACUUCAGGAAACUGGGGCUAAUACCGGAUAGGAGCUCCUGCUGCAUGGUGGGGGUUGGAAAGUUUCGGCGGUGGGGGAUGGACUUGCGGCUUAUCAGCUUGUUGGUGGGGUAGUGGCUUACCAAGGCUUUGACGGGUAGCCGGCCUGAGAGGGUGACCGGCCACAUUGGGACUGAGAUACGGCCCAGACUCCUACGGGAGGCAGCAGUGGGGUAUAUUGCACAAUGGGCGGAAGCCUGAUGCAGCAACGCCGCGUGCGGGAUGACGGCCUUCGGGUUGUAAACCGCUUUCGCCUGUGACGAAGCGUGAGUGACGGUAAUGGGUAAAGAAGCACCGGCUAACUACGUG
rnacentral:rRNA from 1 species